UACGGAGGAUCCAAGCGUUAUCCGGAAUCAUUGGGUUUAAAGGGUCCGUAGGCGGUUUAAUAAGUCAGUGGUGAAAGCCCAUCGCUCAACGGUGGAACGGCCAUUGAUACUGUUAAACUUGAAUUAUUAGGAAGUAACUAGAAUAUGUAGUGUAGCGGUGAAAUGCUUAGAGAUUACAUGGAAUACCAAUUGACGAAGGCGGCGACCUGGACAAGUACUGACACUCAACUACGAAAGCGUGGGGAGCAAACAGG
rnacentral:rRNA from 1 species